CAGAGCAGGAUAAUAGAAGCUGUGAAGAUUACAGAAUACGAUUCACCUGUCCUGAGUCUUUUUGCAGUUGCAAAACUGAAUGGUUUGAUCGUGAUAAUCCAUCAGGAAAUGGUGAUUAUGAAGAUCUUGUGAAGCUGCAAAAAGAAUAUCCCGCUCAAAUCUGCAGUAAGCCGACUGCCUGUGAAGUGGAGACGACAUCAGGAGUUCCAGCCUCCGAAACUGGAGACAAUAUCCCUGAGUGUAGUGUUUCUAGUGGAUUUGCCUGUGUGAAUGCAGAGCAGGAUAAUAGAAGCUGUGAAGAUUACAGAAUACGAUUCACCUGCC